UGGCGUCUCAAAUUGUGCCACAUUUUCAAAACUUGUAAAAGUUGUUAAAUUAAAUUAUUGCAUGUGACAGGCAUUGACACUUUUUGAUUAGUUAAAUGAGAGUAAUCGAUCUACAAUUUCAUUCCACUCUCUGUAAGAGCAGCAAACCUAAUUGCAGAAGACAUCUUACCUGUGGAGACAAAUUAUGCAACCAGCAAAUGAUUGAUAUCCCAUCCAGAUUCUAUACUUCCAUAUGUUCCAAAAAUAAAGUUUCUCUGAUGGGAUACCUGCAAAACCCAGGGGAGAGGAGGAUUGAUUUCACUGGUAGCUUUUGAGGGGCCGGCUGGUGGUGUAGUGGCAUCAGCUCUGGACUUCGAGAGUUCAAACCCAGCUGGGUCCCAACCUGGACGGAAGGUCUACUUCCAUAUCUUGCCAUGAAACAUGGUCCAUGGGGUCACAAGGAGUUGGACACAACUUAAUGAAUUGAACAACAACCACAAACUAUUCACCAGAAACUUUUGUAUAUUCCUUGAAAGGAAGAGAGUGGACUUGAAGUAAAAAGAUAAUCCCAAAAAGCCCGACCUCCAGAGCUGCCCGUGUGAAGUUUACAGGUUCACCCAUGUGAGUACCUGGGCUGCCCCCAGAUGUUUUGAUUUCUCCUCACAUCUCAGAAAUGUGCAAGUAUAAUUGGCCAUUGUAAAUUGGCCCUGUGCAAGGAUGAGUGGUAAGAACUGAGGGGAAGCUUGUGGGAAUGUGGCAAAGAAUAAUACAGAAUUAACAUAAAUAAAUGUUUGGCCUAUUGUGUCUGAACCAACUAUCUGUUAACGAAUAUGCUAUUUGUCUCUGUGGAAAACAGAACAGAGUGGAGCUUGUACCUUGGUGAGGUGACAGAUGAAUUUUAAAUGUGGCCAGGUGUAAAGCAGCAGAAGGAGGGAAUCACCAAGUCAGCCAAGAGAUUGGCCAAGCACAAUGGAAAAAAUAAUGAUUAGCUGAAGGUUGAAGUGGUGCAAGUCAGGGAGAGGACUUUGGUGCAUUGAGGCAAAGUUGGCAAUAACCACUGCUCCUCAAAUAUGUCUCUAUUCAGCAGAGUAGCCAUUGGUCAUGCAAUGCAAUGUAAUGUAGAAUCAGGGAGCAAGGUAGAGGACACAACAAAAGAAACAUCUUGGCACUGAAUUUGCCAAGAAAUUAAUGAUGGUCCAGAAAUUCAUUAGGGCUGCGAUUGGUGCUGUAGACAUAUUCGAGUUCUGAGGCCGGUAAGCUUGAUGUACACCUUUAAGAAAUGCAGCUAACCUAGCAAUCUAAAGUGGGGAAGUGAUGAACAACAAGUUGUAAAUCACGAGAAUUUGCCCUAACACUGGUAUCUGCAAUUUGCAAUAAAAGGAACUCACUGCUAAAACAGAGCGAAAACAAAAACUGCAGCUGUUAGAAAUGUAACAAUUUGAUUCAAACUGGGGGAAAUGGUUUAACUACAUAAUGCCUCGUAGGCCUGAUUUUAUUCUCACAAAUCAAUGAAUAUGUUGUAAAAAAAGAUCACUCCCUACUUGUACAUAGUUUUUUCCUUUUGCUUGUUUUUUCUUCCCACUCUAUAAAUACUAUGUGGAGAUUUGUGACAUAUAUGAUUAUAUGAUAUAUA